UAGAUAUCAGGAAGAAUACCAAUGGCGAAAGCAGCUCUCUAGCCUAAUUCUGACGCUGAGGUACGAAAGCUAGGGUAUCAAACGGGAUUAGAUACCCCGGUAGUCCUAGCUGUAAACGCUGGACACUAGGUGUUGGGGGUUCAACUCCCUCAGUGCUGCAGUUAACGCGUUAAGUGUCCCGCCUGGGGAUUACGACCGCAAGGUUGAAACUCAAAGGAAUUGACGGGGGCCCGCACAAGCGGCGGAGCAUGUGGUUUAAUUCGAAGCAACGCGCAGAACAUUACCAGGGUUUGACAUCCUAUGACCAUCUGUGAAAGCAGAGUUUGGCUCUUUGAGUCACAUAGUGACAGGUGGUGCAUGGCUGUCGUCAGCUCGUGUCGUGAGAUGUUGGGUUAAGUCCCGCAACGAGCGUAACCCCUGUCCUUAGUUGCCAGCACGUAGUGGUGGGGACUCUAAGGAGACUGCCAUAGAAAAAAUAUGGAGGAAGGUGGGGAUGACGUCAAGUCAUCAUGCCCCUUAUACUCUGGGCUACACACGUGCUACAAUGGUCUAAACAGAGGGCGGCGAGGCUGCGAAGCCAAGCUAAUCCCAUAAAUUAGAUCUCAGUUCGGAUUGCAGAUUGCAAUUCAUCUGCAUGAAGCUGGAGUCGCUAGUAAUCGUGGAUCAGAAUGCCACGGUGAAUAAGUUCUCGGGCCUUGUACACACCGCCCGUCACACCACCCGAGUUGGGGACACCAGAAGUCAUUUGCUUUUGCAAGUGCCGAAGGUGUGCCCGAUAAGGGGGGUGAAGUCGUAACAAGGUAGCCGUAGA
rnacentral:rRNA from 1 species